UGGGGAAUUUUGGACAAUGGGCGAAAGCCUGAUCCAGCAAUGCCGCGUGUGUGAAGAAGGCCUUCGGGUUGUAAAGCACUUUUGUCCGGAAAGAAAUCCUCUGGGUUAAUACCUCGGGGGGAUGACGGUACCGGAAGAAUAAGCACCGGCUAACUACGUGCCAGCAGCCGCGGUAAUACGUAGGGUGCAAGCGUUAAUCGGAAUUACCGGGCGUAAAGCGUGCGCAGGCGGUUUUGUAAGACGGAUGUGAAAUCCCCGGGCUUAACCUGGGAACUGCAUUCGUGACUGCAAGGCUAGAGUAUGGCAGAGGGGGGUAGAAUUCCACGUGUAGCAGUGAAAUGCGUAGAGAUGUGGAGGAAUACCGAUGGCGAAGGCAGCCCCCUGGGCCAAUACUGACGCUCAUGCACGAAAGCGUGGGGAGCAAACAGGAUUAGAUACCCUGGUAGUCCACGCCCUAAACGAUGUCAACUAGUUGUUGGGGAUUCAUUUCCUUAGUAACGUAGCUAACGCGUGAAGUUGACCGCCUGGGGAGUACGGUCGCAAGAUUAAAACUCAAAGGAAUUGACGGGGUCAUAGCUGUUUCCU
rnacentral:rRNA from 1 species